rnacentral:snRNA from 1 species
GGAGCCUCAACAGCAGCU